UGCCAGCCGCCGCGGUAAUACGGAGGGUGCAAGCGUUAAUCGGAAUUACUGGGCGUAAAGCGCGCGUAGGUGGCCAAGUCAGUCAGAUGUGAAAGCCCUGGGCUCAACCUGGGAACUGCAUCUGAUACUGCUUGGCUAGAGUAUGGUAGAGGGGUGUGGAAUUUCCUGUGUAACGAUGAAAUACGUAGAUAUAGGAAGGAACACCAAUAACGAAAACGACACCCUAAACCAACACUGACGCUGAGGUGCGAAAGCGUGGGGAGCAAACAGGAUUAGAUA
rnacentral:rRNA from 1 species